rnacentral:lncRNA from 1 species
UCACUCUGGGCUAGAUAGAUGGUGCUGAAGACCUUUCCCAGCUGAGGCUCUUCGAAGCAGCUCCUCAGCAGAGAAGAGGAAGACAGGAAAGCAAAAGCGUGUCUACCCUGUUCUGUCCCAUGCUGCACUGUCAAGGACAAAGGUGUAAAAAGACAACACCUUCUGUGGACUAUGCAGUGUAUCAGGGAGGCACUGGGACAAAAUGGGGAUGCAAGGGGGCCGUUAGGACAAGACUCUGCGUGCAUGGCUCGACCCCUUAAGAAUCCUGUUCUGCAUUGGAAUGAGGAUAGAAAGUCUCUGGAGCUUAUAUGCUACCAUUUCCCCUUUGGGCAUCAACAUGGAGAUGGAGGAAGUGUGUGGCUUUUCCAGCCGAAGCACCCUGGAGGGUCAACUCAAAGCUGGACACCCCAUGGUUUCUCCUGGCCAUACCCAUCCGCAGCCUGCCAUGCAGGAGGCUGGGGCUGGGAUGGGGCAAAUUUUCUUACAGGACUGGUGACUGGGGGAUGGGGCAAUGCACAACUGACACAGGGAAAGGCUGAACAUAGGAGGAAUGGGAUUCCAUCAGAGCAAUUUGCCCAGCUUUUUUCUUUAUUUCCUUAUACAUUUUUAAAGCAUAUGUAUUGCUAGUAAAAGUGCUGGCUGGACAAAGCUCA